GCGACGGAGGCCUCAGAUGCAGGAUACUCCUGUUGGAAAGGUCACACUAGAACCAAUCCAUCCAUACGGAUUGAUUCUCAACCUCGACGAAGCCAGUUCAAAGAAUGGGAGGGUCUCAUCGACGAAUGGGCUUCAUCAUUAAAAGUCGUGAUUGCUACAAUUGAUUACGACAAGAAAGAAUUUGCCAGAGUCUUCGAAGCCAGUUUGGCAGGCAUGGCAAAACUAUACUGGGAAGGACUUAAAGUUCCAACCAGGGAAGAGAUGUUUAGUAGCACAUCCUUAUAUGACGUCAUUAAGGAGAUUACUAAACAGAUUAAAAUCCAUUUCUUGGGAAUGGGUUUUUUCGAAGGAUCCGCAGAGGAGAAGCGCAAG
rnacentral:lncRNA from 1 species